GAAUGUAUGGCUAAGUGGCCAGAGCGCUUGGACAGUAAACUAGAAGCGCGGGGUUAAGUUCCGCUACGUUCA
rnacentral:tRNA from 1 species